rnacentral:rRNA from 1 species
UACGAAGGGGGCUAGCGUUGUUCGGAAUUACUGGGCGUAAAGGGCGCGUAGGCUGUGCUGUAAGUCAGGCGUGAAAUCCCCGGGCUCAACCUGGGAAUUGCGUUUGAUACUGCGGCGCUGGAAUGCAGGAGAGGAUGGCGGAAUUCCCAGUGUAGAGGUGAAAUUCGUAGAUAUUGGGAAGAACACCGGUGGCGAAGGCGGCACUCUGGCCUGUAAUUGACGCUGACGG